rnacentral:rRNA from 1 species
UACGUAGGGGGCAAGCGUUGUCCGGAAUCAUUGGGCGUAAAGAGCGUGUAGGCGGCUCGAUAAGUCCGCUGUGAAAGUCCAGGGCUCAACCCUGGAAUGCCGGUGGAAACUGUCGAGCUAGAGUCCGGAAGAGGCGAGUGGAAUUCCUGGUGUAGCGGUGAAAUGCGUAGAUAUCGGGAGGAACACCUGUGGCGAAAGCGGCGCACUGGACCAUAACUGACGCUGAGGCGCGAAAGCUAGGGGAGCAAACAG